rnacentral:rRNA from 1 species
ACUCCUACGGGAGGCAGCAGUGGGGAAUUUUGGACAAUGGGCGAAAGCCUGAUCCAGCCAUGCCGCGUGCAGGAUGAAGGCCUUCGGGUUGUAAACUGCUUUUGUACGGAACGAAACGGCCUUUUCUAAUAAAGAGGGCUAAUGACGGUACCGUAAGAAUAAGCACCGGCUAACUACGUGCCAGCAGCCGCGGUAAUACGUAGGGUGCAAGCGUUAAUCGGAAUUACUGGGCGUAAAGCGUGCGCAGGCGGUUAUGUAAGACAGUUGUGAAAUCCCCGGGCUCAACCUGGGAACUGCAUCUGUGACUGCAUAGCUAGAGUACGGUAGAGGGGGAUGGAAUUCCGCGUGUAGCAGUGAAAUGCGUAGAUAUGCGGAGGAACACCGAUGGCGAAGGCAAUCCCCUGGACCUGUACUGACGCUCAUGCACGAAAGCGUGGGGAGCAAACAGGAUUAGAAACCCCAGUAGUCCCAUGAU